rnacentral:lncRNA from 7 species
CUCUGCAUAAGUUAUCUUUUAUUGGAUUGUAAUAGAUUUGGGAAAUGGAUAGCAUAUGCUACAGAGAGAGCCAGACACCAACACAUGCUAAGAAGUCCAGAGGGAAACACUCAGAUAAUUACAAGCUUUUUGUGGAUUAAUCAGCCUGCAAAAAUGUUGGAGUAGUGUUAAGCACCCAAACAUCCAUUCAACUCCCACUAAAAUAAAAGGCAAGUAGUCAUGCCCAUAAAUCAUCUGCAGCUAACUCUGGUUGCCAUUUCUCCUCUACCAACUGCAGUGCGACCGCACACGCCUCAAGGGGAGACCACAUCCGUCUGCACAGCUCCACUGCAUGAAUCCCCCCAGGUAACUCCAUGGUGUUGUUUUUGCCAUAGCCUCUGUGCGAGGCACUCAUAAAGCAGACAGAACAUGGAACGGCCGCGUUGGCACCAUCGCAAAUAUUGGUUCCUGCAGUGACAAACAGCGCGUGAAGACGUCGUAGGAGCCACUCAGAGAGGGAGCUUACCUGGCACCCAGCAGGCUCCUACUCUGUGCUCAGCAGCAAGGUGAGGCUACAGCAGG